CCUACGGGAGGCAGCAGUGGGGAAUAUUGCACAAUGGGCGAAAGCCUGAUGCAGCAACGCCGCGUGAAGGAAGAAGGGCUUCGGCUCGUAAACUUCUAUCAUCAGGGACGAAAGAAAUGACAGUUUCUGAAUAAGAAGCCCCGGCUAACUAAGUGCCAGCAGCCGCUGUAAUACGUAGGGGGCAAGCGUUACCCGGAAUUACUGGGUGUAAAGGGUGAGUGGGGGCCAUGUUAAGCGAUAUGGGAAAGCCGUGGGCUUAACUCGCGGAUUGCAGGUGAAACUGUCAAGCUAGAGUACUGGAGAGGAAAGCGGAAUGCCUAGUGUAGCGGUGAAAUGCGUAGAUAUUAGGAAGAACACCAGUGGCGAAGGCAGCUUUCUGGACCGAAACUGACGCUGAGGCACGAAAGCGUGGGGAGCGAACGGGAUUAGAUACCCGGGUAGUC
rnacentral:rRNA from 1 species